UCCCUGGAGGUCUAGUGGUUAGCACACAGCACUCUCACCGCUUUGGCCUGUGUUUGAUUCCCAGUCAGGGAA
rnacentral:tRNA from 1 species